UGAGCAACCUGCCCCUGACUCUGGGAUAACCCCGGGAAACCGGAGCUAAUACCGGAUACGACACGCGAAGGCAUCUUCUGCGUGUAGAAAGAUUUAUCGGUCAGGGAUGGGCUCGCGGCCUAUCAGCUUGUUGGUGGGGUAACGCCCACCAAGGCGACGACGGGUAGCCGGCCUGAGAGGGCGACCGGCCACACUGGGACUGAGACACGGCCCAGACUCCGUACGGGAGGCA
rnacentral:rRNA from 1 species